GAUGAGCGCUGGCGGCGUGCUUAACACAUGCAAGUCGAACGAAGCACCUUGAUUUGAUUCUUCGGAUGAAGACCUUGGUGACUGAGUGGCGGACGGGUGAGUAGCGCGUGGGUAACCCGCCUCAUACAGGGGGAUAACAGUCAGAAAUGACUGCUAAUACCGCAUAAGACCACAGAGCCGCAUGGCUCAGUGGGAAAAACUCCGGUGGUAUGAGAUGGACCCGCGUCUGAUUAGGUAGUUGGUGGGGUAACGGCCUACCAAGCCAACGAUCAGUAGCCGACCUGAGAGGGUGACCGGCCACAUUGGGACUGAGACACGGCCCAAACUCCUACGGGAGGCAGCAGUGGGGAAUAUUGCACAAUGGGGGAAACCCUGAUGCAGCGACGCCGCGUGAGCGAAGAAGUAUUUCGGUAUGUAAAGCUCUAUCAGCAGGGAAGAAAAUGACGGUACCUGACCAAGAAGCACCGGCUAAAUACGUGCCAGCCGCCGCAGUAACAC
rnacentral:rRNA from 1 species